CUGACUUUAUUGAGGACCACGCCUCUGUUGGAAAAUGCAGGGAUCCCCACGUUGAGAAAACUGGUGCAUGUUCCCCACCGACCUGGAGUGAGAUCUGAGGAACAGAGAGAAGCCUCCUGCAAGCACCUGUGAAACCUCCCUUCUCCUAUUGAGUGCAUUCUGCCACUUCUGGAAGUUAUGCGUUCCAUCAUGUACAUUAAGUGAUGGUGAAAACAUGUAAAAGGAGUUCCAAGCUCAAGAGCAAUGUCAACCCAGUCCUGGAUGCACUUCAAAGGUGUCUCUUCAUAUCCUGCAAACAUUGCUGGAUUUGC